GAUGAACGCUGGCGGCGUGCCUAAUACAUGCAAGUCGAGCGAACAGAUAAGGAGCUUGCUCCUUUGACGUUAGCGGCGGACGGGUGAGUAACACGUGGGUAACCUACCUAUAAGACUGGAAUAACUCCGGGAAACCGGGGCUAAUGCCGGAUAACAUUUAGAACCGCACGGUUCUAAAGUGAAAGAUGGUUUUGCUAUCACUUAUAGAUGGACCCGCGCCGUAUUAGCUAGCUGGUAAGGUAACGGCUUACCAAGGCAACGAUACGUAGCCGACCUGAGAGGGUGAUCGGCCACACUGGAACUGAGACACGGUCCAGACUCCUACGGGAGGCAGCAGUAGGGAAUCUUCCGCAAUGGGCGAAAGCCUGACGGAGCAACGCCGCGUGAGUGAUGAAGGUCUUCGGAUCGUAAAACUCUGUUAUUAGGGAAGAACAAAUGUGUAAGUAACUGUGCACGUCUUGACGGUACCUAAUCAGAAAGCCACGGCUAACUACGUG
rnacentral:rRNA from 1 species